rnacentral:rRNA from 1 species
AGAGUUUGAUCAUGGCUCAGAGCGAACGUUAGCGGCGCGCUUAACACAUGCAAGUCGCACAGAGUUUGAUCAUGGCUCAGAUUGAACGCUGGCGGCAGGCCUAACACAUGCAAGUCGAGCGGAUGAAGGGAGCUUGCUCCUGGAUUCAGCGGCGGACGGGUGAGUAAUGCCUAGGAAUCUGCCUGGUAGUGGGGGAUAACGUCCGGAAACGGGCGCUAAUACCGCAUACGUCCUGAGGGAGAAAGUGGGGGAUCUUCGGACCUCACGCUAUCAGAUGAGCCUAGGUCGGAUUAGCUAGUUGGUGGGGUAAAGGCCUACCAAGGCGACGAUCCGUAACUGGUCUGAGAGGAUGACCAGCCACACUGGAACUGAGACACGGUCCAGACUCCUACGGGAGGCAGCAGUGGGGAAUAUUGCACAAUGGGCGCAAGCCUGAUGCAGCCAUGCCGCGUGUAUGAAGAAGGCCUUCGGGUUGUAAAGUACUUUCAGCGAGGAGGAAGGUGUUGUGGUUAAUAACCACAGCAAUUGACGUUACUCGCAGAAGAAGCACCGGCUAACUCCGUGCCAGCAGCCGCGGUAAUACGGAGGGUGCAAGCGUUAAUCGGAAUUACUGGGCGUAAAGCGCACGCAGGCGGUCUGUCAAGUCGGAUGUGAAAUCCCCGGGCUCAACCUGGGAACUGCAUCCGAAACUGGCAGGCUAGAGUCUUGUAGAGGGGGGUAGAAUUCCAGGUGUAGCGGUGAAAUGCGUAGAGAUCUGGAGGAAUACCGGUGGCGAAGGCGGCCCCCUGGACAAAGACUGA